CGCACGGGUGAGUAACACGUAUCCAACCUGCCGUCUACUCUUGGACAGCCUUCUGAAAGGAAGAUAAUACAAGAUGGCAUCAUGAGUCCGCAUGUUCACAUGAUUAAAGGUAUUCCGGUAGACGAUGGGGAUGCGUUCCAUUAGAUAGUAGGCGGGGUAACGGCCCACCUAGUCUUCGAUGGAUAGGGGUUCUGAGAGGAAGGUCCCCCACAUUGGAACUGAGACACGGUCCAA
rnacentral:rRNA from 1 species